UACGGGGGGGGCAAGCGUUGUUCGGAAUUACUGGGCGUAAAGGGUCUGUAGGUGGCCGACUAAGCCAGACGUGAAAUCCCUCAGCUUAACUGGGGAACUGCGUCUGGGACUGGUCGGCUUGAGGACAGGAGAGGAACGCGGAAUUCCAGGUGUAGCGGUGAAAUGCGUAGAUAUCUGGAGGAACACCGGUGGCGAAGGCGGCGUUCUGGACUGUUUCUGACACUGAGAGACGAAAGCCAGGGGAGCAAACGGG
rnacentral:rRNA from 1 species